GAAAUAAAUAAAUAAAACAAUAACCUCCGCGCCAAUAAGAACGAGGGAGAGAGAAAGCGAAGGACAGAGAGAGACACCGGCUCCAGUUCGCUCGGCUAGGAGAGGUGCUCCUUUGGCGCGCGGCGCGCGCGCGUGUAUGUGUGUGUGUGUGUAUGUGUGUGUGUGUGGGUGUGCGUAUGUAUGCAUGUGUGUGCGUGCGUGUAUGUAUUCGCCCCGACUGAAACUGUAAAGUUCACACCAGACGUGUUGCUCUCUCCGGUUGCCCGGGGCUGCGGCUGAGGUCGUCCCAACUUCACUUGCCCAAGUGACUGUGUGCCUUGCCCAGCGCCUCCCGUGGUGCUGCUGCUGCUGCUGCUGCUGCUGCUGCUGCGGCGGCGGCGGCAGCUGCUGCCCGCCCCUCCGGCCAGCAGUGGCAACGGCGGCGUAGACUGCCGCCUCCUCCUCCCAGCACACCUUGGAGCGCGAGGGAGGCUGGUUUGUAAGGGGGCUUCCCUGCCAACCCCAGCACUAGCAACUGCACCUGCCCACCACAUUCCAGCCACUUCCCCCCGGGCGGUGCCUGGAGCCGGCAGAAAGUGCCACAUGGCAAAGAAUCUAAGGUAGAUCUAAGACUAUAAGGAAUUCAGAGAACCUAUUUCCAGAAGGGGCUGUUGGUGAUGAUGCUUAAUAGAGAAGGUAUGUAUUUCUGCUCUACUUAGGAGUUUAUCUGAAUCAUAUUCACUCUCCAGGAAACCAUCAGCAUUUACUCAGAGAGAAAAUGACCUGAUUAGAAAUGACUUCUCUAAUAGCAUCUAUUUAAUGGAGCUUGUAUAAAUGUGAAUCUUGGAAAAAACAAUUGAAGAUUAGGGACCACCAAAUUUUUCAGUUUGAUUAAUAUUUUUUUAAAU
rnacentral:lncRNA from 1 species